rnacentral:rRNA from 1 species
GACGAACGCUGGCGGCGUGCCUAAUACAUGCAAGUCGAACGAGAGCACCCGGUGCUUGCACUGGUCAAUCUAGUGGCGAACGGGUGAGUAACACGUGGGUAACCUGCCCAUCAGAGGGGGAUAACAUCCGGAAACGGAUGCUAAAGCCGCAUAGGUCUUCGAACCGCAUGGUUUGAAGAGGAAAAGAGGCGCAAGCUUCUGCUGAUGGAUGGACCCGCGGUGCAUUAGCUAGUUGGUGAGGUAACGGCUUACCAAGGCCGUGAUGCAUAGCCGACCUGAGAGGGUGAUCGGCCACAUUGGGACUGAGACACGGCCCAAACUCCUACGGGAGGCAGCAGUAGGGAAUCUUCCGCAAUGGACGCAAGUCUGACGGAGCAACGCCGCGUGAGUGAAGAAGGUGUUCGGAUCGUAAAACUCUGUUGUUAGAGAAGAACAAGUGCUAGAGUAACUGUUAGCGCCUUGACGGUAUCUAACCAGAAAGCCACGGCUAACUACGUG